rnacentral:rRNA from 1 species
GACGAACGCUGGCGGCGUGCUUAACACAUGCAAGUCGAACGAUGAAGCCCUUUCGGGGUGGAUUAGUGGCGAACGGGUGAGUAACACGUGGGUAACCUGCCCUGUACCCUGGGAUAAGCCCUGGAAACGAGGUCUAAUACCGGAUAUGACCUGCUCUCGCAUGGGGGUGGUGGAAAGUUUUGGCGGUAGCAGGAUGGACCCGCGGCCUAUCAGCUUGUUGGUGGGUGAUGGCCUACCAAGGCGACGACGGGUAGCCGGCCUGAGAGGGCGACCGGCCACACUGGGACUGAGACACGGCCCAGACUCCUACGGGAGGCAGCAGUGGGGAAUAUUGCACAAUGGGCGAAAGCCUGAUGCAGCGACGCCGCGUGAGGGAUGACGGCCU